rnacentral:lncRNA from 1 species
GAUGGACUGCAACACGGAUGUGUACUUCCAGUGAAUUCAGCUGAGCUAUAGUUUCAACAAUUAGCUUAGGGAAGAAAAUGUUGCAAGACUAAUUAGCUGGUUUCUAGCAGAGGCAUGAAGUGAUUUCCAUUUACUAACCCUGAAAACAUGUAUUACUGGGUGCGGUGGUCCUAGCACAAGUGGUUCACUUGGCAACAAAUGUGUAAGGCAUAACUUUUUGAAAUGGUGAAAUGAAAAUGUGAUUUAUCUGCGAUGUUUCUAUCCUGGUAAUAGCUUCAAGAUUUGAAGAAGAGUAGCAGUUAUCUGGAAUUUUUCAGUUGCGCGUGAGGUGCUUCAGAAGACACACACAGGAAAGACGAAAAUGCUUUUAGGACUUCUUGGCUAUGUAAUGAGGAUCAUCUUGUUUGGGACACAGUCAUGGAGAAACAACAGGAUUGUGCUUUCUCUGCCAGAUUCCUGUCUCGAAGGAGAUCCAGUCUGUUCGAGUCCAGCAUCAGAGGGGACUUCCACUUGAUUUAUCGUGGCCCCGUGGCAGAUCACGCUUUUUUUGGAUGAGGUAUGCAUCAAGAGCAUUGAGUGGUCAACGGAAGGAACAGGUGGAAAAAGGGAGAGCUGCAGCAGUGCAAAGGACACACAGAGCAUGAGCAGAAGGCAAGCAGAAGCUGGGGACAGACAGAAAACCAGUGCCAGACCUGAUGCUUUAACGUCACCGAAAUAACAUCCAGUAAUUUUCACUUAGCAAUUCUUUCUUAUAACUGCAACGAAUAAAAGUUUUCCUAAAGCUUCUCA